GUUAACCAUGUUCCAACAUCACCAAUAAUCAUAUGGUAAUUAGUUUAGCUAUUGCUAAGACACGCCACCAUUUGUCUUCUCCAACAACAUUUCAUCUCAUCUCAUCCAAAGGCAGAGUCACCUUUAUACCUGUAAGAUGGAGUCCAAGUGAGAGGGAUGUGUUCAGGGGCGAAGCUAGCUAUAUGGCAUGGUUUGGCCAUCGCCAUACCUAGCCAGUUGUAUAAAUACCUAUAUAUACUACUAGUUUCAGGCUGGUAACAACGUUUUGUAGUAGCGUAGUAGUUUCAGGCUGUAGUAGCGUAGUAGUUUCAGGCUGUAGUAGCGUACCUCCUAUUGGGCCCUGGGCAAGGG
rnacentral:lncRNA from 1 species